ACACCACUCAAGCCUGGCUUGGUAUUGGGCGAUGUGGCUUGCGGGCCGCCCGCCUCAAAGUCUUCGGCUGGACCGACCGUCUCUCAGCGUUGUGACUUAAUUGGACCGCUGGCGGAGGACGGGAGGUUUCCACGCCGUUAAAACACUUUUUCACAG
rnacentral:misc_RNA from 1 species